rnacentral:lncRNA from 1 species
AUGCUCUAUCUCUGUUCAUCUACCAGCAGGUGUCAGUGUGUUCAUCAAACAGAUGAGACGCUUACAGCUCAGAGGUGUGAAGCUACUCACCCAGAGCCACACAGCUCUAAGGGAGGAGGUUCUGCUCAGAUCUGCCCGGGAGGCAGCAGGAGGAGCACAGGUGGGCCACCGGCUACCCAGGACCCUCAGGCUCCCACAGGGUGGCCCCCUGAAGGCAGGCGGAUUGCUGGAGCUGACGAAGUCCUGGAAGACUUUCCCUCAUGGCUGUGCUUCCCCGUCCUUCUUGCUCUAAUGAGCAGCUGCCCCUCUCCACCAUCCCCUGCAGAAGUCGAUGUGGGAGCGUCCACAAGUGAGAAGAGCCCACCUGUCAAGCCCCAGCCUGAACAUAAGGUGAAGGUGCGUUCAGUGAGCCAGAGAACUUGCCUGCAGCGAACCUCCAGCACCACACGCAGGAGGUGCUGCAGGAGGGCUCACCUUUGGAGGCAAUGUCACCUUCUGACUGUACUCUCCAGAGACUUCCAACCGCACCACACAGUGCCUCUCAUCUUUCCCGUUUUCUUCCUGUAAUAUUCUCCGACAGAGUCAGGUAAACCUGGCACUCACUCGCAGGAAUUUCCAUAGAGCCCCUGGGCAGAGAAAAGAAGCAGUGCUCUGCUGAGACCUUCCUCUGGACCGCGUCUGGUUUCUCGAGAACCACACUAUCACUGGGGUGUAGAGGAACAAGGGACCUGGGGAAGGUCCCCUGGGCAUCAGGAGGCUCAUCUCACAGUGGCUGAGCUCCCACGGCCAUCACAUGACACCAUUUGCGAGUAGAUGAUGUAAAUGGUUUCAACACACAAGGUUUUUUGGGAGUCACCCCAGCCCAUUGGCCCUAUUGUAUGCACGGCAUUCUCCGCCCUUCCCCCCAGCCUUUAUUGAAGGAGCUACGGGGUGGUCAGCACGUUUGAGACUUUAAAUCUGAGAUCUAGUCUUUCAUGAAUUCAUGGCAUGUCUGCCAAGUCAAAUGCAAAACUGUCCACAUGCACAUCCACUUGACUUUGACCAGACUAGACUAUUCACUGCUCCCUAAACUUGCUCUAUGCUUUGCUGCCUCUGUGGUGGCUCCCAGGGAGGGAGAAGAGUUGUGUCUGAGUCUCUGCUCCAGCCCACGAACCCGAUGCCGUCCUGUGACUCCCGGUGAGUCCCUCAGGCCCAACUCUUAUCCCUUCUUGGCACACCUCCCCCUGCCUUUCUAUCGAUAUCCCCCCUUUUUUCCUAUAGUGGAUGAAGUACAAUAUCAAAUAAAGUGUGCACAACACAGGGGUGUUUGUAGGAA